rnacentral:rRNA from 1 species
UACGAAGGUCCCGAGCGUUAUUCGGAAUCACUGGGCGUAAAGGGAGCGUAGGCGGCGUGGUAAGUCAGAUGUGAAAGCCCGGGGCUCAACCUCGGAACAGCAUUCGAUACUGCCAUGCUAGAGUAAUGGAGGGGUAAGAGGAAUUCUCGGUGUAGCAGUGAAAUGCGUAGAUAUCGAGAGGAAGACCAAUGGCGAAGGCAUCUUACUGGACAUUAACUGACGCUGAGGCUCGAAGGCUAGGGUAGCGAAAGGG